CACGGAGUUAGCCGGUGCUUCUUCUGCGAGUAACGUCAAUCACUGUGGUUAUUAACCACAAUGCCUUCCUCCUCGCUGAAAGUACUUUACAACCCGAAGGCCUUCUUCAUACACGCGGCAUGGCUGCAUCAGGCUUGCGCCCAUUGUGCAAUAUUCCCCA
rnacentral:rRNA from 1 species